rnacentral:rRNA from 1 species
AGUGAACGCUGGCGGUAGGCCUAACACAUGCAAGUCGAACGGCAGCACAGUAAUAGCUUGCUCUUACGGGUGGCGAGUGGCGGACGGUUGAUGAAUACAUCGGAAUCUACUUUUUCUUGGGUGAUAACGUAGGGAAACUUACGCUAAUACCGCAUACGACCUACGGGUGAAGUCAUGGGAUCUUCGGACCUUGCGCGAUUGAAUGAGCCGAUGUCGGAUUAGCUAGUUGGCGGGGUAAAGGCCCACCAAGGCGACGAUCCGUAGCUGGUCUGAGAGGAUGAUCAGCCAAACUGGAACUGAGACACGGUCCAGACUCCUACGGGAGGCAGCAGUGGGGAAUAUUGGACAAUGGGCGAAAGCCUGAUCCAGCCAUACCGCGUGGGUGAAGAAGGCCUUCGGGUUGUAAAGCCCUUUUGUUGGGAAAGAAAAGCAGCAGGUUAAUACCCCGCUGUUCUGACGGUACCAAAAGAAUAAGCACCGGCUAACUUCGUG